GAUGAACGCUGGCGGCGUGCCUAAUACAUGCAAGUCGAGCGAACAGACGAGGAGCUUGCUCCUCUGACGUUAGCGGCGGACGGGUGAGUAACACGUGGAUAACCUACUUAUAAUACUGGGAUAACUUCGGGAAACCGGAGCUAAUACUGGAUAAUAUAUUGAACCGCAUGGUUCAAUAGUGAAAGACGGUUUUGCUGUCACUUAUAGAUGGAUCCGCGCCGCAUUAGCUAGUUGGUAAGGUAACGGCUUACCAAGGCAACGAUGCGUAGCCGACCUGAGAGGAUGAUCGGCCACACUGGAACUGAGACACGGUCCAGACUCCUACGGGAGGCAGCAGUGGGGAAUAUUGCGCAAUGGGCGCAAGCCUGAUCGAGCCACACCGCGUGAGUGAUGAAGGUCUUCGGAUUGUAAAGCUCUGUUAUUAGGGAAGAAAAACAGUAGAAGUAAAUCUGGACGUCCUGACGGUACCCAAACAGAAAGCACCGGCUAACUACGUG
rnacentral:rRNA from 1 species